rnacentral:ribozyme from 1 species
GCAAAAGAACAAAAAAAAGCCAAAGAAAACAAAAAAAAAGGUCUCAAGCGACUUUAAAAUGAUUAAUCAUAUUACUUUUCGUAUUUUUUAUAUUUUUAAUAUUCUACG